rnacentral:rRNA from 1 species
CUUGUCAGUCGCGACUUCUUCCUCAAGUCCAUCCUCUGCAAGCAUGACGAGGGCCUCCUCCUCGUCAAGGUCUACUUAAAGCCCGCCAGAGAGCCCCUCGACCUCAAGGACCAUGAGCGGAGGCUGGAGCAGAUCCGGAGGGCGUUCCAGGGAUUCGAGGGCUCCCCCGUCUGGCCCUUCCAGUUCAAGCCUCGCUCUAUUGUUUGUUUCUCCUGUAGUGUACAUUAUAUUACUUGGGUUACUACAACAAUGCCUGCAUGUUACUGUCUUAGUAUGCAACGCAGAUCAAGUUGA